ACUCGAAUGCACCGUCCACGCGGCGGAGCUUCUGCGGGCUGGGUCACGGAGUAUUGCUUCCCCUGCCGUCAGUCAUCCUGGAGUUUCGGUUCUCGAAAAUGCAGCUGAAUCAAGAAAAAUGAGAGCCAUUACUUCGUCUCCUGACUUCCAGGAUUCUGGCCUAACCCGGGACACACACCAGGCUCGGACAUGUGGCUUUGACUCCCGGCGUCCGCAGCCCUGGAUUUACGGGGAGAGUAAGGAGUCUGUCCCAGGGCUCUUUUAGCCAGUUUCCCCCACAGACGGCGGUUUGGAGCUGGUGGGCCAGGCUUUCUGGGCCCCUCUGUGGGCUUCCGAGAGGGAACGGUGGUCUCCAACAUCCUGGGGACGCGCGGGCUCUGCGUCUGGACGCCAGGGCCCGUGUGGCCGACCCUCUGGAGGCUGACGCUUGGCUGGUGGAAGGAGCAUCACCCCUGUAUGUCCUCACUAAAUCGCUGUCCUGAGCCUGAAGCAAGCAGCAAGGAGAAGAGCCCCCUGAGGGAGGUCAGGAAGAGUCACCCACACUGUGAGCAGACGGUCAGGGGAGGAAAGGAAACUCACAUCAUAGACAGCCCAUGAGUUUGAUCAUCUGACAAGUUUAGGACAUGUCUGACCCUCUCACCGACCGGUCCCACACUGUGAGGACAGCGCCGCCUCUGCGGAAGUGAAGAGCAGCUUGGCCGAUCGAUGUUCUGCAGGCCCUUCCCCCUCUCAGCUGCAUUGACCCGGGAAACACAGAAUUCCUUCUGCAUUGACAGACCAGCUGGAGCAACUGAGAUGGGCUUGGGAUCCAGGAUGUGUGAUUCCAGACAUGGCCACAAGGUGGAGACACAUGGUUGUCAAUCCCUAUGUCUUGUUCCAAGGCUGAGCCUUAUUGAGGGUUUACGCAACAGUACAUUUGCUGGGGAGUAAGGUUUAAAAACAAACAUAGUUUUGUAGUCAUUUUCUUAACCCUGAGUAAGGCAGCCCUGGGUCGUUUUUCUAAAGGACUCGGGCUAAUUUAGAAAUACCUUCCAAUUCCUUAGACCAGUUGUGAAUACAUGAUUAACCUACAUUAUUUAAUACUGCAAAUAUUUAUCAUGCUGGCGCCCUGUGCAAACACAGUGCUGUAUUUUGAGAGGGAAUCUGGACUGUAAAACAAAGGCAAGACACAACUGGGGGAGGGACUUCCCUGGUGGUCCUGGUGGUCGCACUCCCAAUGCAGGGGGCCUGGGUUCCUUCCCUGGUUGGGGAACUAGAUCCCACAUGCUACAACGAAGAGCCUGCGUGCUGCAACUAAGACCUGGCGCAGCCAAUAAAAAAAAAAAAUGACACAACUCAGGGAGGAAUUUAUCAGACACCACUGGAAGACAUACCAGGAGGGCAUCUAAGUGCAGCAGGCUUAGUCCAAUAGAGAUAGUAUAAGCAAUCUAUUCAUAGAUGAUUCAGAAAAAAAUUAUGUUUAGAUAUAAACAGAAUAACAAAACAAAUGUGGCAAAAUGUUUUUUAAAAAAAGGUGAAUCUGGAUAAAGGAUAUAUGAGA